rnacentral:rRNA from 1 species
UACCAUGCAGUCGACGGUGAAGCAGAGCUUGCUCUGUGGAUCAGUGGCGAACGGGUGAGUAACACGUGAGCAACCUGCCCCUGACUCUGGGAUAAGCGCUGGAAACGGCGUCUAAUACUGGAUAUGUGACGUGACCGCAUGGUCUGCGUCUGGAAAGAAUUUCGGUUGGGGAUGGGCUCGCGGCCUAUCAGCUUGUUGGUGAGGUAAUGGCUCACCAAGGCGUCGACGGGUAGCCGGCCUGAGAGGGUGACCGGCCACACUGGGACUGAGACACGGCCCAGACUCCUACGGGAGGCAGCAGUGGGGAAUAUUGCACAAUGGGCGGAAGCCUGAUGCAGCAACGCCGCGUGAGGGAUGACGGCCUUCGGGUUGUAAACCUCUUUUAGCAGGGAAGAAGCGAAAGUGACGGUACCUGCAGAAAAAGCGCCGGCUAACUACGUGCCAGCAGCCGCGGUAAUACGUAGGGCGCAAGCGUUAUCCGGAAUUAUUGGGCGUAAAGAGCUCGUAGGCGGUUUGUCGCGUCUGCUGUGAAAUCCGGAGGCUCAACCUCCGGCCUGCAGUGGGUACGGGCAGACUAGAGUGCGGUAGGGG